AAGAAGAUUGCGAUUUUGCGGCGCUUGUAUCUUUGCUUUUUGAUGGUCGUGGUGUCGCCAGGGGCGGUCGUAACAGUUUCUUCAUCGUCGGAAGUGGGGGUGGACAUUUUAGGCUUUUUAAGUUCUGGUUCUCGUUGCGGUGGUGGGGAUGCGGUGGUUUUUGAAUCUGGAUUUUCCAUCUUCAGUGAUUAUAAUCCGAGUUUUCCAUUAAUUUUUUUCAGAUGUCUGUACCCGGGCAAA
rnacentral:misc_RNA from 1 species